rnacentral:rRNA from 1 species
UACGGGGGGUGCAAGCGUUGUUCGGAAUUAUUGGGCGUAAAGCGCACGUAGGCGGAUCUGUAAGUCGAUUGUGAAAGCCCUGGGCUUAACCUGGGAAUUGCAGCCGAAACUGCAGACCUUGAAUGCUUGAGAGGAUGACGGAAUUCCUGGUGUAGCGGUGAAAUGCGUAGAUAUCAGGAGGAACACCCAUGGCGAAGGCAGCAAACUGGUCAUCAACUGACGCUGAGGCGCGAAAGCGUGGGUAGCAAACAGG